ensembl:lncRNA
GAGAAGCAGGGCACGUGGCUGCUCCUUUCUUCCUUCCUGUCUGCCUUGCAGAUGGGCAUCCGAUCAAAGAUGGAACCAGAGCAGGACUCACGCCUAUCCUCAGCCCUCUAGCUGGUUUCCAUGCCUCCAUACAGAACAAAUACAUCAGACACAAACAGUAUCCUUUCUAGAUCCUAAAGGACACUGGAAGUUCCCCAAGAACCUCCUGCCCCCACCCCAACAUUUUUUACCAGUUUGCUGAGCUCUGACCACACUGCAGGUGCUAAUACUGGAUCUGCUGAUCGCAGUGGCACUUUCAGCACACAGCCGUGGAAACUGCUGGCAGAUGAGCCACCCGGUGCUGGCACCAGACCUAUUGAUUGCAGUGGCUCUUUCAACACAUGGCCAUGGAAAUUGCUGGCAGAUGAGCCACCCAGUGAGUAGGGCCAUGCAAGAGAGGGCAUCACAGGGAAGCAGGGCAUGUGGCUGCUCCUUUAUUCCUUCCUGCCUGCCUUGCAGAUGGGCAUCUGAUCAAAGAUGGAACCAGAUGUGGACACUCAUCUCUCCUCAGCCCUCUAGCUGCUCUCCAUGCUGCCAUACUGAUCAGAUA